rnacentral:rRNA from 1 species
UUCGGACUGGAGUCUGCAACCCGACUCCACGAAGUUGGAUUCGCUAGUAAUCGCGCAUCAGCCAUGGCGCGGUGAAUACGUUCCCGGGUCCUUGUACACACCCGCCCGUCAAGCCAUGGGAGCCGGGGGCGCCUGAAGUCCGGGACCGCGAGGACCGGCCUAGGGCGAAACUGGUGACUGGGGCUAAGUCGUAACAAGGUAUC